UUGACUUUCAAAACUAAAAAUUAACAAGUUUUGAACAAUGCAUUACAUAUUUUUAAAAAUGCAUUUGCUUGGGCAAUAACUAAGCAAAUAUAAUAAUUAGCAAAUUCACACAUAUAUAAAUCAGUCUCAUCGAAACCACUGGUUUAAAUAUUACUUUCCAGGAUGUUUUGAGCAUGUAAACGCAAUAAACCACAGGUAAUACAAUGUAAAACAAGUUUAUUCAGCAGGUUUCCUUUCAAUUCAGAGAAGAUGAUAUAUUGUGAGCCUUUGCUCUGGAGUUUCCAGCUGAUUGCAUUAGCCGGUCAGCACAGUAUGACUCUUAAUAGUGCAGAAUGAAACACUGUCAUCAUCCUAUAAUCAGCCUGUCAAGAGCUGCAGGAGAAACCUAAGAUGCAUGUGGAAAAAUAAGGCUCUCGCGUCAGAGUAAGCAGAAAUGAUGGGACCUCACGAGAGUUUGUCCUUGAAGAGAGUUCUCGCCACUUUUAAAGCUCAAUUUUUCUCCAAAUCAAAUCACACAUGCUCUCAUUGUAGAAUAUACAAAGUACACAUACUGCAUGAAGAAGAAAUAUAAAAGUAAACACCUGUUUCUUUGACCCUAUAUAUGUUUAAGCACACAGAUACAGACGUGGCUUGUGCUGUUCAUGCCGAACUCUGCAGAUUGAGAGAACAGAUACAAACAGGCUGUUGGCACUUAAAAUACUGCAGUCUGAAGCCACACGAGCGGCUUACUUGUGCUAUAAUAAAGAUACUGUAUAAUGCAACACCCAAUACACACCUGUACAACCAAUACAGCCUAUGACUUAAAGAAACAGUUCACCCAAAAAAUCUGAUGCUUCCUCAUCAGAUUUGGAGAAAUGUAGCAUUGCAUCAGUGUCUCAGCAAUGGAUGCUCUGCAGUGAAUGGGUGCCGUCAGAAUGAGAGUCCAAACAGCUGAUAAAAACAUCACAAUAAUCCACAAGUAAUCCACAGCACUCCAGUCCAUCAGUUAAUAUCUGGAGAAGACAAAAGCUGAAACAAAUCCAGCAUUAAGACGUUUUUAACUUCAAACUGUUGCUUUCAGAGUCCAUAAUAAAUAAUAUUGCAUUUUUCCAGUGAAAAAAAAUUAAAUAAUUUAGCACAGAAAACAACCAAAAAAAUUCAGUGUAAUUCAAAACACACACUCGCAGCUGUACAGAAAUUUGUGCAUUUUUUUUUAAAACAAAUAUUUUAACAUUAAGGAUUUAUUCAUGUUUUAAUAUUUUGACUUUACAAUAUUUAAAUCAAAAUCAUAAUUUCAAAUAAUAUAAAAUCUCUAUACAGUUGUUUUGGACUGGAGUGGAUUAUUGUGAUGUUUUUAUCAGCUGUUUGUACUCUCAUUCUGACGGCACCCAUUCACUGCAGAGCAUCCAUUGCUGAGACACUGAUGCAAUGCUACAUUUCUACAAAUCUGAUGAAGAAACAAACUCAUCCUGAUCUUAGAUGACCUGAGGGUGAGCACAUCUUCAGCAAAUUGUAUUUUUUUGCCUGAAUUAUUGCUUUAAUCAAAUUAAAGUUUGAAGCUUUAGAGCUGCAGAAAGCAACUACACUAGAUGUAUUCAAGCACAUUCAUGAAUCCAUUCCUCGAUGAAGAACUACAGCUAUUCUUAAGUAUAAAUUCCCUCACGAGUUAAAGGGAUCCUUAUAUUCUAUCAAACAGAAUUUUGUAUUUCUACCUACUUGUAUAUUUCUGCCAGUGCAGCUAAUAUUUAAUGCUUUAUGUCAAUGCUCUCGUCUAAACUAAGCAUUCCACAGUAUGAACAUAAGGAGGCGUUUGGCGCCACAUUCAAGCUGGUCUUUGGUUUCUACUCACUCCCAGCUGAGAAACUGAAUCAGAAAAACUCUCAACGGCACAAAAGCUCAUUCAGGACUUUCUAAAAUGGUAAACAUCAUUUUCAGUUUCAAAUGUCAAGUUUGUCCUUUGAGCCACAAAGAUCUUUGCUACAAACUUGUUUUGGUUGUAAACUAAAUAACACAAUUUUCCUUAAAUACUCAUGAUUCAAUUAGAUUUUGAAACACAGAGUCAUGAUUAAAUUCUAAACUGAUUAAAUUUUUUUUAACCUAAUCUUUUAAAGUGUUUGUAAAAAUUCAUUUGAUUUCACAAUAACAGCUAUUCAUGAGUAAGUUUAAUGUUACAGAAAUGUGUGAAUUUUUUGAUUAUUAAAUCAUUUAAAAUUAUUACAAAUAAUAUAUAUA
ensembl:lncRNA